CCAAGAGCACCUUAACGGUCGCAUUGCAACGUUUGUGUGUUGAUCGGCAUUAGUGGGUAACGUGCAUCCCCAUGCAGUAAUUAUUUUUUGGGCAGGACAUCGCCUGUACAUAUAUUUUGUGAUAUUUGGGCGUAAUAAUAAUUGUUAGGGUUUAACGUUGUACAACCAAGCUAUGAUUACGAGGGACGCCGUAGUGGAGGGCUUCUGAAAUUUCAACCACCUGGGGUUCUUUACCGUGUACCUAAAUGUAAAUACACGUGCCUGAAGCGUUUUCGUCUCCAUCGAAAAUGCGGCUGCCGCGGCCGGGAUUCGAUCCCGAGCCCUUUGGGUUAACAGUCGAGCACCACAACCACUAGACCGCCGUGGCGGGUUAUUUAAGCGCUUCCUGGUCGCCAUUCGUUUUCCUAAGCACUUUGCUGAUAUUAUCAACUACUUUACUGUUCAAAAGCGCGCGUUUCUAUUGCAAACUAAAAUGCCGUUCUAGACUGUUCGAUUUACAACAGCCUCUUGCAGCUUCCCUAUCCCUACACGUGAUAGGGAAGCUGCAAGAGGCUGUUGAACUGAUAAUUGGGUGACGUGGCACGGAUUAAUAAAUAAUAUGAAAGCGGCGUCACGGAGUAAGACGGCAAGACUCCAAUACACACGAACAAAAUCUUCAAUGGGCCAAGAAGAAUUGAUCAGGGGCUCAUUUUCUUUGUUAUGAACAACCUAAUGAAAGCGACAGACAAUGAAGCGGAUGAAAAUAUACGGGCAUUAGUUGUAGUCUUCAACUUUAAUGUGGUAAUUGUAAUUACAAUGUAAAGAAAUUAUAGUUUACCAAAAGAUAACUUGCCGCCGGUAUUGACCGAAAGUACAACCUUCGGAUAACGCGUGCGAGGCUCUACCUAUUGAGCUACAGCGACGGUCUUCCUCCCAUGUACAUUAUUGCGUAUUCCUGCGAAUGUCAACAUUUUAGCGCAUGCCGCUCGUAGCCUUGAUUUUGGGCGUGGAAAACUCUUUUUUGCCAGCUCACGUCACAUAGAACGUGGUCUUUAUACGAGCAGGCAGCUGUCCAACAGUCCCUCCCAUACCACCUGGAGGCUUCCAGUUUGCCGGAACGAGCACACAAACAUGUGUCUUUAGUUUUGUCGUCUAAAUCCGCCGGGCCCUUUUUAUAAUAGUGAUACCGCAUUCCACCGUAAGGAAGUGCUAUGAAGUAAAUGAACUAUACGUGAUUCUACUAUAGGGUAAAACACUUGACACGCAAGUGUGAUCAAUUAGUGGACGCUUCACUGCCUAAAGUCAAUAUAUAGAAUGAUCAACCUGUGGAAAGCGGCAAGAACGCUCUUGAUGAGGACACGUCACGAAAAAACAGAUAUUUUGCGCAUCACUGUUCUCAUUUAUGGUGCCCAUGGUAUAAUUAAGAUUUUUUUUCAGCGACUAAAUGCAUAGUAAUUAUUGGUCGUCCUUUGCUUUCCAGGUAAUGCAAAAGCCACAUCAUAAAGGCGUACGUAUUCACAGCUGCGCAGUUCGCAGCGUUGGUCAGGAUUGCGAUGCGAAAGCACAAUGUAUAAUGUGGACGUGCUGCCUGAGAAGUCUCACAGCAACCGCAUGUUACCAAAGAGCACGAGUUGGUGGAAGAUGCUCAAGCUAUAACAUCAGUGGAAUAUACAACUCUAAUUGCCCUUGUGCACCAGGUCAUGAUAGCCACUGCUCUGAAGUCGCUUAAUUUGGGUUGCCACGCUUUCUUCUACCCUGUGGUGGCAUGAUUUCGCAAGGGCUUGCUUCAGGCACGUGGUUGCGAUUCCUCUUUUAAUUAUUUUUGAAUGCCCCGAAUCGAAAGGAAGAAGCCCUUUCUCACCCCGCACUUUGUACGACCAACAGGAACGUGUAUCAUGGGAAGAUGCGUAUUACAAAACACCGGUAGACACAACUUUCGACAACGAUUAUAGUUACUUCAAAAUAGGUUUAAACGAAAUGCAUCACCCAAGCGUAGGUGAAAUAAAAACAAAUUAUUACGGUUUAUAUAACAUGGAGCACAACGCCAAUAAAUAUGUGGGUUUCUUUUUAAA